rnacentral:tRNA from 1 species
GGACCCGUAGCUCAGCCAGGAUAGAGCGAGGGCCUCCGGAGCCCUAGGUCCCGGGUUCAAAUCCCGGCGGGUCCG